rnacentral:rRNA from 1 species
UACGGAGGGUGCAAACGUUGUCCGGAUUUAUUGGGCGUAAAGCGCUCGCAGGUGGUUCGUUGCGUCGUGCGUGAAAGACCCCGGCUCAACUGGGGAGUGUCGUGCGAUACGGGCGAACUGGAGGCCAGUAGGGGGAUGCGGAAUUCCGGGUGUAGUGGUGGAAUGCGUAGAGAUCCGGAGGAACACCAGCGGCGAAGGCGGCAUCCUGGACUGGUCCUGACACUCAGGAGCGAAAGCGUGGGGAGCGAUCCGG